GAUGAACGCUAGCGGUAUGCCUAACACAUGCAAGUCGAGCGAUCUCUUCGGAGAGAGCGGCGGACGGGUGAGUAACGCGUGGGUAACCUGCCCUGUACACACGGAUAACAUACCGAAGGGUAUGCUAAUACGGGAUAAAAUAUGAAAGUCACAUGACUUUUGUAUCAAAGAUUUAUCGGUACAGGAUGGACCCGCGUCUGAUUAGCUAGUUGGUAAGGUAAUGGCUUACCAAGGCGACGAUCAGUAGCCGACCUGAGAGGGUGAUCGGCCACACUGGAACUGAGACACGGUCCAGACUCCUACGGGAGGCAGCAGUGGGGAAUAUUGCACAAUGGGCGAAAGCCUGAUGCAGCAACGCCGCGUGAGCGAUGAAGGCCUUCGGGUCGUAAAGCUCUGUCCUCAAGGAAGAUAAUGACGGUACUUGAGGAGGAAGCCCCGGCUAACUACGUGCCAGCAGCCGCCGUAAGAC
rnacentral:rRNA from 1 species